UACGAAGGGGGCUAGCGUUGCUCGGAAUUACUGGGCGUAAAGGGCGCGUAGGCGGCCUGUUAAGUCGAACGUGAAAUCCCUGGGCUCAACCCGGGAACUGCGUCCGAUACUGGCAGGCUUGAAUCGGGAGAGGGAUGCGGAAUUCCAGGUGUAGCGGUGAAAUGACGUAGAUAUCUGGAGGAACACCGGUGGCGAAGGCGGCAUCCUGGACCCGGCAGUUG
rnacentral:rRNA from 1 species